rfam:Southern bean mosaic virus strain SBMV-S, complete genome.
GUUGCGGAGCCUUUAAACUACCAGCGGGCGGCAGGGUCAAGGCCCUUGCCGCCCUUUCUCAACUUGCAGGCUACGACUU